rnacentral:lncRNA from 1 species
AUUUAUAUAAUAUUUUAUUCCCAACUAUUAAAAUUUAUUGAUCAUAUUAAAAAAUUUUAUCUAUAUAUUUAUCCAUAUUAAAAAAAUUUUAUAUUUAUUGUUGUUUUAAAUAUUAUUAAUUAUUAAAUAAAUUAAAAUUUAAACAAAUGUAUGAAUCACUACUCAUUCGAUCAUAGUGGCUUCAUUUAUGCACCUAAUCACCUUUAAAUUU